AAUACAUUUUUGAAUUGUGUGAUUAAAUGAAUCAUCAGUAGAGGUUGCUCGGUUUCAAAGAAACAAACGUCGGUUAAAUCAGCUGAUAUUUUUUUAUCUUGUGCUGGUGUUCAUAGCCGGAGCGUCGUCGUUUGUGACAACGGCACCGGUUAUGUGAAGUGUGGAUUUGCGGGAGAGAACUUCCCAACGUCUGUGUUUCCUUGUGUUGUUGGAAGGCCAAUGCUUCGUUAUGAAGAAUCUUUAAUGGAACAAGAGAUCACGGACACUCUUGUGGGUGAUGCUUGUUUAAAGUGGAGACACCAAUUGGACAUAUCUUAUCCUGUAAACAACGGAAUCGUUCAAAAUUGGGAUGAUAUGGGACAUGUGUGGGAUCAUGUAUUUUCUAGCGAACUAAAGGUAGAUCCCACGGAAUGUAAAAUCUUGCUUACCGAUUCGCCUCUGAAUCCAUCUAAAAACCGUGAAAAGAUGGUUGAGAUUAUGUUUGAGAAAUACAAAUUUCAAGGUGUUUUCAUCCAAAUACAAGCUGUUUUAACAUUGUAUGCUCAAGGUUUGCUUACGGGACUUGUAAUUGACUCCGGCGAUGGAGUUACUCAUGUGGUUCCAGUUGUUGAUGGAUACUCAUUUCCCCAUCUUACAAAACGAAUGAACGUAGCCGGGCGCCACAUAACUUCAUAUCUUCUUGAUUUGCUCAUGAGGAGGGGGUAUGCUAUGAAUAGAAAUGCUGACUUUGAGACAGUAAGGAAUAUCAAAGAGAAGCUUUGUUAUAUAAGUUAUGAUUACAAAAGGGAGUAUCAGUUGGGACUUGAUACUACCAUCCUUGUAAAAAUUAUACUAUGGAAGGGUCAUUAAAGUUGGGAAUGAGCGGUUUCAAGCACCAGAGGCUCUUUUCUCUCCCGAGCUAAUAGAUGUCGAAGGAGAUGGAAUGGCUGACAUGGUAUUUCGUUGCAUCCAGGAAAUGGAUAUUGACAAUAGGAUGAUAGUACUCAUAUUUUUUUAAACUGCAAAGCACCUAUGUGAUACAUUCUGCAGUUUAUGAUGCACUAGAAUCCUUUUCCUUUUGCAGCUUUACCAGCACAUUGUCCUCAGCGGUGGAAGCACAAUGUAUACUGGAUUACCUAGUCGCUCGGAGAAAGAAUUAUCGUAGCGUUAUCUGGAUUCUGUGUUAAAGGUAAAUAAGGACGGAUUGAAGGUAAAUUAAUGCUAAUUCUGCUUCUAAGCUGGUAUCAUUUUCAGUCGAAUAAGGACUGUUUGAAGUUAUUUAGUAGCAAUGCUUAAAAUUUAACAUUUCUAGUAAAAUACAUAGCAAUCAUAUGGUAAAAUUUAUCUCUCUCUCUCUCUCUCCUUGACCCAUUUAUAACCUUUGGUCUUUAAUAUCAAUUAGAACAACCUCAUCAGGUCCCGAUGUGCAGCAUAAUUAGUGAGGUUGUUGUUUGCAAAUAAGACCUGACUCGAUCUUUUGAGAAUUCCCAGGCUCAGUCUCAUAUACUCAUAUUAUUAAUAUGUUGAUAUUUGCAUUAGUAAGAUGCUACUUUGUUUUUACCACACUAAUGUCCAAGAUCUGUGGUGUUUACCAAUGCUUGUUAUUACAGUAUCUUAUAAGUAAGCAAUAGUUUGACAUCCUCAAGUACAUGUCACAAGACUUUCACCACGGCCAAGUAGAGCCAGCAUAUUAUAGUUGCUUUUGCUCCUUAUUGUCUAAAAUAUGAAUUAAAUGAUAUUAGUAUAUUUAUUGUUGGGCAUUGAAACUAAGGUGGUAUCAUAUACUAUGUGAGUAUCUAUGACUGUGUUUAGCUAUAUAGAAAAUUUUAUUAAUAAAAAGAAGGUUGUGCUUGUUUA